AUAUCUCUCUGUACGGGAAGGAUGAGAAGCUUCGACUAAGGUUCUAUUCGAGCGUCAGCGAGAAAGCGUUGCCGCAGGCAACGACCCGAAGGGCGAAGCGCGCAGCGCUGAGUCAUCCUUCCCCCACCACCA
rnacentral:sRNA from 1 species